GCAAGACCGACUCGACCGCAACACGGUGUCUGUUCACUUCCCUUGCCCCCACCGCAAAACCCCCGGCGCUCGCCGCCGCCGCCGCCGCCGCUCGUCGCGCCCUGCUAUUGUAUCAUCCCGUCCACAGCCAUCCGCUGUAAUCACCGGCACUGAGGGAUCGAUCGGCACCGGAGACUGUGAAGGAGGAGGAGCGCAAAGAUGGCGGAUUUCCGGACCUCCACGCACAGGGAUAGGUGGAUCUUGCAGCCGCACGAUCUGAUGGAUAGGUGGGCGGCGGCGAACCAGCGAGCCGCGGAGACCCUCGCGCAGUAUGGGACGACGCGGUUGAAGGUGGACCCUGUCGACGGCGCGCUCUCCUACCCGGAGCCUGCGCCGGAUCAUGUUGAAGGGAGCUCGGAUGUAAAGCCUCUGUCUUACGAAGAGGAGCAGUUGACGCGGGUAUUUUACGAGCAGAAGAUUCAGGAAGUAUGUGCAGCAUUCAAGUUCCCUCACAAAAUCCAGGCUACUGCCAUAAUAUAUUUCAAAAGAUUCUAUCUACAGUGGUCUGUAAUGGAGCAUCACCCAAAGCAUAUAAUGUUAACAUGUGUAUAUGCUUCUUGCAAAGUGGAAGAAAAUCAUGUUUCUGCGGAGGAACUAGGUAAAGGAAUUCAGCAGGACCAUCAGAUCAUUCUAAAUAAUGAGAUGAUUCUUCUUAAGUCUUUAGACUUUGAUCUCAUUGUUUAUGCUCCGUAUCGAUCUAUUGAAGGAUUUAUUGAUGAUCUGGAGGAUUUCUGCAGGGCAGGUAAUGGUGCAUUCCAACGUUUGAAGGAGUUUCAUCAAACCGCGAUAUCCCAGGUUGACAAAAUGAUGUUGACUGAUGCACCUCUUCUAUAUACUCCUGGACAGUUGGCAUUGGCUGCUUUGCACAAGUCCAAUGAUGUUCACAGGGUCCUCAAUUUUGAAAGAUACUUGGAAAGUAUCUUUUCAAGGCAACAUUCUGAUUGCCCGGUUGAACAGUUUGUUCAGUCAAUCAAUGCAAUCAAUUAUUUGGUUGACCAGCUUAAAAUACCUACUGUCAAGGACAUGAGGCAUGUUGACCGCAAGCUGAAACAUUGUUUGGAUCCAAGCUCACAUGAUGAGCAUAAGAAAAAAGAGAAGAAGUCAAAGCACAAAUCGAAACGGACAUCUACUGAUGCACAACUCAACAACUAGAAAGCAUGGUUGAGCAGUGGUUUCGUGUAAGAAACAGUUCCAGAAAUGUGAUGCACAGAAGGAAGCACUAUUCUGAGCUUCUGUCAUCGCCAUCUGAGGUAGUUAUAUACCUGAGGACAAGCAAUUUUGUGACAAGGCGAGACACACACCAUUGCCUCGCUUUCUUGUGUGUCCAGUGCUAAUGGGUGCUGUAGUUUUUGUAACUUAUUGAUUGCUACAAGGGAAGAAUUGCGGCAAGAAACAAUAAAGAGGUGUAACAUUGGAUGUCUAUUGCUAUGUAUGGAAAACUUGAAAUGGUACGGGGCUUACUUUGCGUCAGCCAAGAGACUUAAUUAACUACUUGAAUUUCUUCUUUGCGAUUGUACCAUUGUUGUGUCUGAAUGCCGAAUCAUACAAUGUAAUCCAAGAUUAUCUGUCUGUAAGAGAAUAACUAUCUGUUGGGAGUUAUUGUGAAUCUAAAUUGAGUAUGUGAA